CUGUCAGUUAUUACUCGAUGCCGGUUUUGCGUUCAAGCUACUGAUAACACUGGUAAACCAGCAAGUACCACUCCAGCUCGGGACAAAAACAAACCUACAUUAGAUAGAUAUUACAAGUCUGUCUACUUUAUCCUCCACGACAAAUUCUGGAUUGGCCACGGCCUAGUCAAUUCUGAUUGGGCAAAGUUGGAAGAAGAAUUUAAUCAUAUUGGGAAACCAUCUCCUAAGCCCAAAGGAAUAAUUGAUACAGUUCCCUUCAUUUCGUCUGGGACCAAGGUAUCUAUCUCUGCUUUGGUCUUUGUCAUUUCUUAACUUGUUGAUUUUGUAACAUGAGCUUGUGUUUAACCAAUGAUGCAGCUGGCCCAACUUGCUGUACUCUUUGGCUUGGGUGAGCCAUCACUUGGGUACUAUAACAAUUGCGAAGAAAAUUACGAUGCUAUCAAGCAAUGCAGAGACGCGAUGCCAAUUUUAGAUAUGGAGAAGGAGAAGGAUAUGGGGAGUAAUAUCUAUCCCAUGAUUUCUCAUCUGAGGAAAUUUCAGCAGCCACCAGAAAAAGCAACAACUAAAUCAGCAAGGGGUAGUGAACCAAGAAAAAGUCAAAAACUGGAGGGUAAGGAAAAGGAUUUUCUUGUCACGAAUCAAAUACAAUGUCGUUUAGAAUUCAUAGCUCAGAGUAAUUGUUUUCUUUUGGGUUCAUCUGUUAGGAAAAGAGAAUCCCCCUCGGAAAUCUUUAGCUGAAUCUCCAUCUUCUCUAGAAGAGAGAUUGUUGGUCGCGAUGAAGGUAAAAAAGCUGCUUCUGGAAUUUUGUUCUUUGUUUGUGUGUUUGUCUGAUUUCCGGAUUUGGAGUUGGAAGUGAAUUAAAUCUCUCUCAUGUGUAUUUUUUUUUACCGAUGCUGGAGAGGGAGGACCGUGUUACUUUCUUCGAUUUCAAAAAAGGUAGUAACGGGUUGCUGCAUUUCGGUGGAAUGGAAGUGACUUCCAAGACGCUGGCAGUUAUUACUGAAACCGGGUUUUGCGUUCAAGCUACUCAGAUAAAUGGUAGACCUGCAAGAAACACUCCAGCUUGGUUAAAAAAUGAACCUACAUUAUCUGAAUCCUACAACCGUGUCUACUAUAUGCUCCACAACAAAACCUGGAUUGGCCACGACCUGCGCAAAUCCGAUUUUCCAAUGUUGGAAAAAGAAUGUAAGCAUAUUGGGAAAUCACCACCUAGGCCCAAAGAAAUAAUUGAUACUGUUCCCUUCAUUUCGUCCGGGUCCAAGGUAAUCUAUCUAUCAUCUCUGCUUUGGUCUUUGUCAUUUGGUAACUUGUUUUAUUUUGUAACAUGAGAAAGUUGUGUUUAACACCAGCUGGGCAAACUUGCUGUACUCCUUGGUUUGGGUAAGCCAGCAGCACGGCUGGACUGUAGGAAUUGCCAAGUCAAUUAUAAUGCUAUCAAGAAAUGCAGAGACGCGAUGCCAAUUUUAGAUGUAAGUUUAUUAUAUAAGGCACAAAAAGGUACAGAAAUCCGAAAUCCACUCUUGUUUGUUUUGUUUUUUGGUUUGCAGGUGGAGAUCGAGCAGGAUAAGGAGAGUAAUAUGCAUCCCAUGAUUUCUCUUAUUAAGAAAUAUCAGCAGCCACCAGAAGAAGAAACAAGUAUUCUUUUUGGUCAUGAAGAAGAAACAACUAAAAGGAAAAGUCCUCAAGGAAAAGUCAAAGAUGGGGGAGUAAGGAAAAGUCUAAGACUUAAGGAGGCAAGUCAGAGACUGAAGAAGAAGUCGAUGUAACUUUCUUGACUCAGUUAGCUUCAAAUACAUUAUCAGGUUUCGGUUUUAUGAUGAAUUUUGUCUCCAAUGGUAUUCAUAUGUAUGGAAAUGGGCUCCAAAACUUUCCUUUUACAUCUCUAAGUUAAGAGGUUGGAGGUUAUAAUUUUGAAUUAUUAAGUUGUCAUGUCCCCUCCUCUUUCUAGAAAUUAUGAAUCGGAAGAAUGUUUCUGAAUUGAAAAAUAGCCGGAGGUUUUGGUCCAUUGAGUUACUGCUUCAUUCAUUUUUUCGGUCUACUUUUCGACUUUAAAGUAAGCAGCAUGCAAAAGAAGGCAGGAAAUGUCGUGGGUUUGGUUCAAGAUUUAACCAUUGAGUCAUUUAUUUUGUCGUAUUUUUAAUUAACCGACAACUCAACAUAGCACUUGCUAGAAGGCAAUCAUUUGUAUAUCUCUUAUACAAAAAAGGAUGGUUAUAUUAACUUAUUUGUUAUGGUAAAAAGGAUGGUUAUAUUGGUUUGUGAACAAAUUGAUUUGUUAUUGUAUGGGUGUAUAUAAUUAUUCUCCUUCGCAAAUAGCGAGUUGAAACAUGGAAAAGAAGCCAGUGGAUUUAAAUUGGCUGUACUAAACUGGUUUGUCUUCCGAUAUCCAAACCAGGGGUCAUAAAGUUUUGGAAUCCUCUGUUUUUUUUUUUUUUUUAAUGAAAGGUAGAUUAUAUGCAAAUAAUGAUUUAAAAAAAUAAUGAGUUUUGAAACUAAAUGUUUUUAGAAACACAGAUUAAAUAAAGGCACGUGCUCUGCAAAUGGCUACCAAAAAUAAUUAAAUCUUACUAUAAAAAACAAAAUAUGAUAAAAACAUAAUUAACUAAAAGAUUCAAUCGAUUGUUUAAUACACUAAAAAUAAUCCUUGUUACGCAUCAAUUUGGUAAGAACUCUUUUUUUUUCUUUUUUUUUUCUUUUCUUUUUGAUAAAUACACACAUAAACUAAAACCCUAACCAAUGGUAACAAACGAACUUUGGAAAAUCAUAUAGAACAAUGUUAAUGAACACAUGCCAUCAAUAAGGAAAGUAACGGCUGCAUACUACUGCACAAAGAGGAAUAACAAAACUUAGCAACAUAGUAACACUAAUAUUAUCACAAAAUAUAAAAACCAAAACAAAGCUCGAAAAGAUUAUUAUACAUGGCACAUGAUUCGGUUCUUUCAACACAAGAGCAAAAAGUUCAGAACAUUUUUUCAUAUUUUCAUACUUUCUACUUACUUCCAGUUGUCUGAACAAGCAAAUAGCUUUAGAAAAAUAUAUUUUUAUUGCCCUCAUUUUUAUGGAUAUUUACACAUAAUUGCUAUUGAAUGAUUAAGGAAUAUUUAUUUUCAAUUAAUUAAAAAAAAUCCAACAUUUCAAUUUUAAAAUAUAUUUUAAUUAUUUUAUAAUAUAUUUAAUGAUUAUAACAUUAUUAGAUCUAAAACAUUUUCCAAUUAAAAAAAAACUGAUUACUAUUCACAUAUUUAAAAUUUCCAAAAAAAACUAUCAUUACUAUAGGAAAUUGACUUAUUUAAUACCUUAUUUAAUACCAUUGAUAUAAUAUUUCACGGUGAAACAUAUUCUUACACAAAAAAAAAAAAAAAAAUCUUGCAUAGAUUGAAGAAAUAGCGGAUUAUAUAUUUAGUUGGUACAUAGUAGUUUGAUCUAAACAUAUUCUCACGGGUUAUAUAUUUCGUUUUUACACAAACAAAUUUUAGAUCCUCAAAACUAACUUUACUCAUAACACUAAUUUUAUCUGCGUAGAUUUAUCCUGCACAUAGUGCACGUUGUUACCUAGUGCAAUUAGUAACCAAAAAGUAAAAAGUAAAUAGAACAUAACAAAAAAUGAUUUCUUCAAUUCCUUCUUCCCCCAAUGCUUUCAACCCGUAAAAAUUGAAAAGUAAUUGGAAUGAGAAAGAGAAAAUGAGCAAUUAGAACAGUGCUUCGACUCCUUCUGCUCACAGUGCUCUCAACUCCUAAGAAAAACUUGAAAACUAAUUAGAACGGAAAAGAGAAAAUGAGCAACUGAUCCAAUCAUGUAAAAUACCAACAAAAGAGCUUCACGUCUGGAGAAGAAAUCACUUUCAUAGAUAUACCACUAGGUUCGCUAAAUGUUGUCAAACUAUUUUGAAAACAAAAACAGUUAGUAACCAGAUAAUUAAUCCAGUGAUAUCCAAAAGCGAUAUAUAUUAUCCGAUGUACAAAUGACAUGAUCCUAUAAAAAACAAGUGAGUUACCUAAUCAAGGGGUGAGAAUCUAGCUACGACCUCGUCAAGACACCUAAUCGAAAUAGAGCCCUGCCAAAGAUGAAGUAAGUAGUCAAGAAAACAAUAAAACAUAAAUUCAAAUUAAACAACAGAGCGCCAACAAACAACCAAAUAAAUCCAAAGAGAGAGGAGCAGAGACAAAGAAACAGAAUAAAGGAAACCAAUCAUUUGAAACUAUUCCUUAAGGCAACUGAACUGGUUUGAGAAAUGUUUCCUUCUGCAAAUUGGAAAACAGAGAAAAAAGAGAGAAUUAAGUAAGCAAACGUUUACAGAAAGUUAUUCACCUAUUCGGAAAAGCUAAAAUCAACAAAACCAAACAAAAAAAAAUUGGAAAAUACUUAAAACCCGUAAAACCAUAAUUAAACAGCCAUAAGACAUUACAUGACAACUGACAAAUCAAACCUCUGCAUCAAUAAUUUAAAAUAACAAAAAAAAAGAAGAAGUAAUUAACACGUAAACAGAAUAAAACCAGAGACACAAUUUAGAAACCAAAACUUAGAAUACAAGUGUUUUAGAAGCUCGACAACCUAAAUCAAGUGGCUAAUAUUAGAAAGAAACAGACGAAACCCCAAAAAGAAAGAGACCAAAAACGCAUAUAUAUCCUCUUUAUUUGUAUCUGCUUAAGAAGUAAAUUCAACAAGUCAGUAAUGGUAACGUGUGAAAUAAGGAAUCAAACAGUAGAAAAGAACAGACGAAACCCCAUGAACAUUAAAAGAAAGAUACCAAAAACUCAUAUCCUUUGUAUUUGUAUCUGCAUAAGAAGUAAAUUCAACAAGUCAAUAAUGGUAACAAGUGAAUUAAGCUAUCAAACAGUAGAAGAAAAUAAAACCUAAAAAGAUGAUCGGUGCAAAGAAAUUAAUUUCUUCGAAUCCUCCUCUUCCAUAAUGCUUGUAAAUCCUGACAAAAAAAAACACAAAAUUAAGAUUAAGAAAAAAGAACAAGAGACUUCUUGAAAUCCCUUUGAUCUCUUGAUCGAUAGUCUCUGAAACUUCAAUCACCUGUAUCAAUAAAUUUAUCUGAACGUAAUUAAGAAAACCACCCAUGAAAUUUAGAAACCAAAACCCUAAAUAUCAUAAGUAACCUCAUACGCUAGUGGGAACGAUGAUGAUCUUGUCGAUCACAAAACCCUAAUAACUUGCGUAAGUAUAUAAAAAGAAGCAAGCGAUUCAAUUUUAGAAACCGUACCCAGUGGCGGAUCCAGAAAAAUAGUUUACAUGGGGCACAAAUAAUUUAUAAUUAAUAAUAUUAAAAAAUUGAAAAUAUUAUAUCUACUGGUUUCUAAAUAUAAUUAAUUAUAUGUAUUAGAUAAAUUUUAAAAACAUCAAUUUAAUAUUAACUAAAAUAAAUUUCGAUUUACACAUCUAACAAUAUUACACGAAUUUAGAUUCUAAACAUUAAAUAAACUACAAAAAAUAAUAAUCUUCAUUAAUUUACUAGUUUUACUGAAAAUAAUAAUAAAAAUGUAGGUAUUAAUUUUUUUACUGUAGACAAACAUGUCUUAAAACUCCCACCAAACAAAAACAAAAACAUGUCUUAAAAUUUGUUAGUUAAAUUGAAACUAGAAAGAUAACAAUAUAAUGAAAAGAGCAUAGUUUUAUUUAAAAGGAAUAAGAAAAAUACAGUCAAUUAAUUAUAAAAAGAAUUAAAAAUGUAGGAAGAUAUUAAAAAUAGAACAUGGGCUGUGGCAAAGAAAUGAGAAAUCGUUAAAAAAAAAAAAAGCAAACCAAAAAACUGAAAUAAAAGAAUCGAACCCCUUUCCUGAAGUAUAGCAGCAUGGGGCACUUUAGGCCAACUGAGCUAAUAGAAUAAUAUCUGUAAUGUUCAACCGAUAACUAUUUAAUAAGUAGUGUGGGGCACGUGCCCCACCUUAUUAUACUCUAGAUCCGCCCCUGACCGUACCACACCGUAGAAUAGAAGCAACCUGUGAAACAAGAACUGAGAAGAUCGAAUAAAAUCAAUUUUCUUUCAAAUCCUUGGGAAUCAACAAAAAAUAAUUUAGAGAGAUCAAUAAACUAAAUCGCUUGAAACCCAAUCAAAGAACCUCUGCUUUGUAGAAGACGAAAGAAUGAGAAAAUUGGAGACAAAAGAGGUGUGUGCUUUAUUUAUAGUGAGGAGGUACUAAAUCUAACAGUGUAGUGUAGAUCGACUCAAUUCGUAAGGAAAUAGUUAUCAACGGUGGACAUUAGAAAACACAAAGUCGGCUACGCUCCUCUGAGAUUUUCUGACCGUUAGAUUUUUGGCACACGUGUCUCUAUUGUUAAUUCUCUGAGCAUUAUACAUUCGUCUGAGAUUUUUUUACCGUUAUUAGUCUUCUUGGCACAUGUGUCAAUGUUUUGAUUCACUGACAUUUUUACAUUUGACUGAGAUUUUUUUGCCGUUAGAUUUUUGAGCACAUGUGUUGAUUUUCUGGUUCUCUGAAAAUUAUACAUUCUAGGUUUUUAGGUGUUCUGUUGGAUUAGCAUUUAGAUCGAGUUAAAAGUUUAGAACUCUUCUUCAGUCGGUGUCCUUAAAUUUCUGUAGUCUCUUACAAAGGCACAUAAAUAAGAUAAGGGAACUGAAAAACCCCAUAAAUGAAAUAAAAAUUAAAAAAAAUUAGAACAAUGAUACACUUUGCAAUUUGCAACGUCCGGCAUCUAUAUAGAUGUAAUAAACAAUGUUUUCGAAUUUGCCCAAAAAAAAAGAAAAGCAAUGUUUUCAAAAGUAGAGGUGAAUAAACAAAAAAAAAAAAAAAAGGAAAAAAAUCAGAGGUGAACUGAAAAUAAUUAAUUGUAGUUUCUAAUAAAUGUAAUAUUUAUUUAUAUUCUUAGAAAUAUGUGAUAACAUGAACAAAGACAUGCUUGAUUAAAUAAUAGACAAUUUAAACUCAAACCAAAUCAAAUUUUUUAACUAAAAGAAAUGGUUGUUAAAUAUCUAACAUUUUUCAAGGAAGAAACAAGAUGAACCUUGUAUAAUAAUUGACAAAGAAGACAAAAAAAGGGAGCAUAAAGUCGCACCUCAAAAAAUAAAAUAAAAACACUUCCUGGAACCUAAAAGAUACUGCUCAAUUUUCCUUGAGUACCAAGUUUUUUGGUGCAUGAUUCUUAAUUUAUGCCAACUUAAUCUUCAAUUCAACUGAAGAACCAACAACAUUAAUUCAGAUUUGGGCGAGAGGAGAAUUGUUAAGGUUCAUAAAAAAUCAAAUACUAAAGUAUUAGUUUAAGAAGAUGUGAUUAGGUGUUAGACUAUAAUUAAGAGAACUCUCUUCAGUUAUUAUGUAUAGGAUUAAAUGGUAAGCAUAUCAGUAGUCAAAUCUUGAGCAACCAAGUUUAAAAGAAGACUUACGAUAUAUAAUCUUAGCGGUGUCUAAACAGUCAGUUUUUAAAACCGUUGCUAAUUAACUACUAAGUGACCACUGGAAUAUCUUAUUUUAUAUGGGUAAUCAGUAGCUCGGGAUUCAAAAGAGUAAGUAAAACAAGGUCAUGGCUCGUGUUGGUGAGCUUCCAUGAAACUUCAUUCGCCUGUGUAAUAGUGGGAGAUUGAAGAAGUCUUUUGCCCUUUAUUCUCCUUUUGUUAUUCGUAUCUAUAAUAAAACUGAAAUUGAGAGAUUCAAAACAGUGUAUUAAUAGAGGUUUCUGGGCCGGUUUAACUAAACCACUGACUGAAAAAGUUACUUUACCUAUACAAUAACUCAACCUUGAGAGUAAUUUUAUAACAAGAAACACACUAAAAAAAGUGACCUGACAGGAACCAAAGAAUACAGUUGCCCUUUUUCUUUUGACAGCCAACUAAUACAAGUAUGAUUAUAUAGUAACACUGCUUUCUUAAACCUCUUCCAUUACAAGUAGAAUUAGGAAUGUCGAGUUAUGACUAUAAAUACCUCGAUCGAGUUGUGAUCAUAGGCAUGAGCUUUGUGCUUAGUUUUCAGAGAGUUUCUAAACAUUAAUAAAAGGAUCAUACAUACAUACAAGUAUGUUUCAAGCAUAAUCUUACACUUUUCAAAGCAUAUGAUAAGAUGACUUUGAUUAACUUCUUAACUUCAAAAUCUUUCGUCUCGCUCUACAGAUUAGCCAAAAGUGGUGCUAUUUAGCGUCACCACCACUGUUACCGCUUCUUUGACACCAUAAGUUCAAUAAUUUUUAAAUUUCAGACACCCAAUAAAAUAGCGUUUCCUCUCAUUACAUUCCAUUCUCACUUGCGUAAGGUUAAAGACUCUCCUGUGUUGAUAUUAUAAACCACAUCACUACAGAUUGUGUCCUACUCGAAUCUUGAUCGUGACAUAUCAAUCCGAUCCAUUAACAUGCUUGGUGAUCGGCCACAACAGAAACAGUAUACAAGUUCUUAUCUGGAUUUUUAGGAUGAGGUGAAGACAAGAAGAAUAACUUGUCACUAGUCCAGAAGGUGAAAAGAACUCGUGGAUGAGCCAAAGACAUGGUCAUGAACAGCUUUGUGAAAUCUUGACGGCUAAGUAGUAUGGAAGGCGACCAUUAUUUGGAUACGCAACAAAACCAAGCUAUGUAUAUACUUUGAUGGGACUCUCAAGAAUAUAUCGAUAAAGAGAUCGAUUGGGAUUUCGUCUACGUUUUCUCUUCUUGAAGUAGAAGAUUUUGUAUUGGAUUGAAAGAUCGCUAGAUGACCAUCCAAACGAGACGUUCUGCUUCAGUUUUUUUCAUGACGUAUUGGCUACGUUUUAAACCCUAGCUUUUUCGCUAUAGACAGAAUCAAGACGACUUUGGCUCUGUGCUCUUCCUUGAUUUCAACUUAUUUUUGAUAACUUUAACCAGAGAUGAUAAAGUUUCAGUGACAUUCCUGAUACGGUAUAGAGACAGUGCACAACAGAUAUUUGCUUGGAACGCGCCAAGCCAACGCUUGUAUAUUUGCUUUUAUUAACACAAAGAUCACUACAGUGAUUUAUAUGUUUCGGCCCUUACUCAACUUACCCCGCUCAAUAGGAUUGAACCCGACAAAAGCAAAUCUAAGCUGAUUUCUAUCCUAUGCUCACCCGCUCAUGAACAACAAGAAAAGAAAUCAAAACACUCACCCUUCUCAGCCUUUUGUUUUUGGCGGCUUUGAAGUAUACAAUCCUCACCAAUAUAAUCUAGAGUGUCAACCUAUUUCGUGGCUACCUCUAGACUAUUUAUACAGCCACGAGAAAACCCUAUUUGUUAGGAUCUCGCAAUCUUCAUCCUAGGAUAGUCUUGCACACCAAGCUUAUCCUUUCCUUAUAUGUUGUUAGAGAAUAUUCACUAAAUCUCUUCAACAAUAAAGGUCUUCAAAGCACGCCUCUAGGUUAGCUACCACGUCCUUGGAACGUCACAUCUUUAUUUCUAGCGAUGCCAUGUAAGCCCUAGGUGUCCACGUCAGCAAACAGUCUUCUGAUGUCUUCUGAUGUUACAACUGCUUCCUGUUCUGAUCAGCGAUUCGUUCUUCAAACAACUAAUGGUUCACAUCAGCUUCUUUAAUCCUCAGUAAUCAAGCUUCUAAUAUUCCGAUGCGACCUCAUGAUCUACACGACGAGUUGUUCUUCAUAUACCGAGUUGUGCACAUCAGCUUCCUGUUCUGCUACGUCAAUUCAUGCUUCAAUAUCAUCAUCUUAGGCAUCUGAUGUGAUCACACAUCCACUCCUGUUCUGCCAUGUCAGCUCCUGCUUCCAUGUUAGUAACUCAAACGUCUGAUGUGAUCUGAUGCAGCUUUCUGAUCCAGACCGUGAAUGGUUAUGCGUACACGUGCUGAUCCAGAAUCUGCAUCUUCAAUCUCCCCCUUUUUGACUUAGUUUGAUACUCAAGCAACUUCCUAAAGAUAACCUGAAAGUCAAAGACAGAGAGACAAACGGACACAACAACAUACCAAUAUCUAGAAAUGAUCCUAGCAUUAGUACCUCAAACAGAGUGAUGUGUUCAACAUUAUUACAGUUCUAACAAGUCCCAGCAGACUGAUAAAUAUUCUAAUGAAAGAACAGAGAACUGUAACAAAGCAAAACUAUGAUUAAGAACCUAAACAUUAACGACCACAAUGGCCUGCAGCGGAAACCAUGUUCUUAAUAGUUCUCUAAUCAGACUUAACCAUUUGGCAUAUCCAUAAGUACUAUAAACAUAAAAUCAACCAAGUAAUCAAACCGUUAAGUCUCCCCCAUAAACAAUGAUUCUCCCCCUAAAUCAAAGAACGAUUCUUCCCUACAAGUAAAGAUCCCUCAACAUUAGGUAUUUAAAACAUAUCAGGAACCGGAAUCAUUCUCCCCCUGCUUGAGUGCAUAACUAAGUUAAAAAUAAACAGGUGUAUCACAUCAGUAAGCAGAGUUAUGGAAACACUUACCUGAUGACAGUGUUGUUCAACAUGAAGCACUGCAAUGACCAGUCUCAUCGCUUUGAGAUCAUCAGUCAUUCCAACCACAAAGGUUGAGGUUGCUGCUUUCACUAUAGUUGCUGGUUCAACUUGAAAGUCUACGCCAUCAUGUGGAUGAGUCGAGCUAUAGUUGCCUUGCACUACUUCACAUUGUCGUUUGACAAACCACAACCAUGUCAUCAUACAGCACGCCAGUCAUCUGCAUCCUAUGGGUUCGUUCCUCUAUAUCCUCUUAACAGAUGAUAUGCUUUCCUAGAGCUUUCGCAUUAUUUGAGCACACAUGACUGAAAACCAGUCACAUUCCUCCAACAACAUCUUGUACCGUUUUAGAUCUCUGGUUUACUGUAAAUAUCUUUCAUUCUUGCAUAAAAACCAGUUUCUUUGAUUGAUUCUGCACAUAGUCUUGAUGUCCUUGAUCAUCCUCAUGCUCGCAGACUUGUCAUCCACUUCACUACAAUCAACAGAGAGUUGAUCUGUACAAGUGAGAACUCAAAUACCCAGUUCCUGUCAAUAACAUGUACUGUCGUAAUCAGACUCCUGACAUUUGAUGGAUUAGCCCAUAAGUCUCAUACUCCUUCAGGUAUGUCCGGCUCAAUUUCAGACACAGUCCUUAGAAGCCCAUCAGCUUCAUCAUCAUCGCAUGAAGACAAAAUUGUUUUAUCUUCAACGAAUGCAUCAUGAUUCUUAAAUAGGACAUCGCACCUCUGUUUCGCCGAGCAGAGAACCGAACAAAGUCUCAUCACAAUCUGCUGCACCUACAGAUCAUCAGGGAUAAGUUGACUCUUUUCACUCUUCUGUUGGCUCCUAGACACUGAAACAUCAACACUCUUCUGCAUAUUCACCCGACGACACAGAUGAUAGUAGAUUCGUCAAGCAGCUGGUAAGAAACAACUUGUUAUCCGGUAACAUGUUUCAGCUUUCGGCAACAUUCUCGUUGAUCAACCAUGUUGAUCAGAGUUGGGACUUAGUGACAGCUACCAGAUGUAAAGACAGAGACGACCAUGCCAUUCGCUGGUGAACCACAGUCUUCUACUUGGGAAUACACCAGCCUCCGAUACUUUCCCGUGUGGGUUUGAAACAGAUGGGCUUAUGCUUGUUAACCUAACAUAUAUAAUCCUGACAACCACUUAACAGAAACAUUAGUGCACAUUUGCCAGCAAAUCCCUAUUUGAAAAUCAACUCGCUAAUCAACACCAAUUAAUCACAUAGAACUUUUCAUGAUUAUUCAUCAUAUACAAUCACUUUAUCAUGAGCAAAUGAGUGACCCAGAAUGGUAGCAAGCAUGUGAGCAUAUGUAGAUUAAGUUCAGUUUAAAAGUUCUCAUACCUUUGAAGUCUGUUCUGUGUUCUGUGCCAGCCACUUGUUCAGGACUCAGCCAGAAACUGUCACAACCUUAUGAAUCUUCGAAGAGUCAGCUCGGGAUCAGUGGCUAGUCUUUCACACUGUCAUGCCUUUAGUCCAGAACAAUCAAUAUGCCCAGGCAGCUGGAAUUUCCUUUGGAGAGUGCACGAUCAGGAGUGUGUUAAGUCCUUUUUUUUUUUUUUUCUCUUAACACAGCACCUCGGAGUUUCAGAUUCAACGCUCAAGUAUGGUCGCUUUUCAAGCUUCUGACUUUUUCAGGCUUCUAUUGAACCUUCUGAUUUGUAUCAGAAACAUCACUUGUGUUUUCAGUCUCUGAUACCUGUGCAUGCCCUUGAGUUUCUUGUUCAGAACUCCCUCCAGUAGCUUGUACCAGACACAUCACUUGACUUCUCAAUGUCCGGUACCUUUUUGAAUGACAUGCACAUAAAUGCCCCUCCUCAGCUCUUUGACCUCCUAGAACACGACAACAUUUUACUAUUGUAAGGACCGGCAUGACAGGCAGCUCUUUUCCACACACCUUUGAGUUACAGACAGCUGAUCUUCUAUACAUCCUUUGGAAUUUACAUGACCUGUUCCAGUGUCUGUCCCUGUCUUUGAUCAGCACAACUCACAGAACAAGUUAGACCUCACACACACACCAAUAGCUUUUCUCAGAUCUACGAAUCGAUUAAAGUCCAGAGGCUUGGUGAAUAAAUCAGCAAGUUAAAAAAUAUUACUCACAAGCCUAACUACAAUCAGUGUCUCCUCAAUUAAUUCACGAAUCAAGUGAUGCAUUAUGUCAAUAAGUUCAGUUCGUGAAUGUUCAACGGGGAGCAUGGCUAGUUUAAUUGCACUCUUGAAAAAGAAUCAGAGAUCAUACCAUAGUAGUCAGCUGUCGUUUGUUUCAUCAUAAUGGGCUGAGUACAUGAGCUCCCAAGUGUAGUGUCUGAAUCAUUGCUUAUUGUGGGAACAGAAACACUUUGUUGUUGUAGCUCCACCUGUUGUGAUCCUUCAGAAGCGCUCACACUGUGUUGUUGCUGCUCAACCUGUCAUGAUCCUUCAGUAACGCUCACACUGUGUUGUUGCUGCUCAACCUGUCGUGAUCCUUUGGUAACUCUUCCCCCUGAAUCUCUCCUACAUCAUUAUGAAUGGAGUGAUUCUUAUGCACCUGACUGAUUGAGUCUUCAAUAGUUACAGCUUGACUCCUGCUCACAGAUUCAUGAACAGACUCAUUCCCAGAGGACAUAGGUGCAUCAGUUACCUGAUCAUCUGUAUGACACUUAUUCGGAUACGUGCGUAGUGUGACACGAUCCAGGAACUUACAACAGUCAGCUUUGUAGUGAUUCUGACUUCCACAACACCAACACCCUAUUCUUCUUUUCAGAGCUCUGACACUUCGCAAGUUAGUCUUAGCGUUUGAUCUCGUCUUUGCCUUCACAUGUCUGAAGUGUGAACAAUUGCUUACGUUGGUACCUGAAGAUUCGCCAUAGGAAUACAGAUCAUCCUUCUUGAUGUAGACUUGAUUACAUCGGUUACCAUCCUUGUGGAACCUCUUCUGGCGUAUGAGCUGAUUCACACGAUUCUGAAAUCUGUAACAAUCGGUCUUGAUAUGCCCAGGCUUACCGCAGUACCAACAUCCUGUUCCUCGUCCUCCUGAGUAGGUAAAUACAGGACUCUGUUUGGGCGUUCCACUGUGAUUGCAGGAGAGACGUCUGUUUUGCCGGCUUGAUUGUCUCAUACCCUCACUGGUACUAACUGGUUUCACAGGAGAUAUAUACGUCUUUAUAAACUGAGUGCUACAGUUAGGAUUACCUCUGUGAUACGAUGAUGUGCCACACGUCUUCCUGGAUUGAGACCUUGAGAGAUCAGAAGAUUGCGUCUGUCCUAAGUUCUUCGUCUUCACUGAUGAUUCAGGAGCUGAACCGUUUUCCUUGACGAACUUGGUAGUGCCACUAGUUGCUCCUUCCUUAUAUCCCAAGUCAAAUGGUGUGCUGCCUACUCUCCCAUAGCUUAGCCCUCCAUCAAGAUCCUUAGUUCCCAUGCUCAGCAUCCUGAUAUUCUUCAUCUGAUCACUCAACAGUUUUUCCAAACUCGAGUUUUUGAUUUUUUCUUCACUCAGUUCCUUCUCAAGUGUAGAAAUCCUUAUCCGAAUGUUGUCUCUUUCAGAAAUCAAAUCGUGAUUCUCCUUUCUCUUCUCCACCAAGGUCAUCAGAAAAUUGAUAAGUUCUUCAGCCGUCAGGAUCUCUUCUGUGUCUAAAUCAGAUGAAUGAUUUUCAGUACUUGACGUAUCAUUGUCUUCUCCAUCUUUAAUUUCCCUAAGAUGUGCUACAGGGUUGUUGAGGAGUGUUCCUCCAUCAGCCUCCUGCUUGUCAAUAUCGCUCUCACUAGAAGUGACUUCCACUUUACGUUUUGAUUCUGAUCCUUUGACAGAGUCGACUCUAGUGUGACAACGCCCCUUGCACUCAAAGCACUGUAGCGAGUUUCUCUUUUUGAUUGUUGGACAUUCUGAUAUGAGAUGACCGCUUCCUUCACACACAGAACAUUGUUUGUCAGAUUUUCUUUUUUUCUUGUCUGCGGUAAUCUGAUUAUUUGUUGAUACCGGCUUGCAGUGAUCACUCUUCAUCCUCCUUAAAUAUUUUUUGACAAUCAGACCCACUGUAUCUUGCACAUCAUCUUUCUGUUUGUCAGCAGCUACCAGACCACUUCUUUUCCCAAUCGUCUGUUCUUUCUUCUUCAGUUUUAACUCAUAUGCCUACAUCAUCGCAACAACCUGAUCAAAUUUUAAUUCACAAGAGUUCAGAGAUACCUCAAUGGCAGACACGUAUGGUUGGAACUUGGACGACAGACUCUUGAGAAACUUCUUGACAAGCUUCUUAUCCUUGUAUGCUUUUCCCAGCACCACAGCUUCCUGACGAAUGGAAAUCAGUUUGCUGCUGAAGUCGUGAAUAGAUUCACCGUCCUCCAUAGAUAGGUUUUCAAACUCAGACACCAGCAUAUCAAGUCUGGUUUUCUUCACACUGCUGGUUCCUUCAAAUGACACUUGAAGAAUAUCCCAAGCCUCCUUUGCUGAUGUGCAUCUUUGCACCAUAGUGAGCUGGCUCAUGUGCAAGGAACUGAAAAUAGCAGACAGAGCUCUGGCGUUGUACUUAGCCUCUGCCUUUUCAUGAGCCGUCCAUGAUUUCUUAGGUUUUUGACAAACCACUCCCUCAGCACUGGUGGUUGUUGGAUAUGUCCACCCAUCUUCCACUGCGGACCACGCCUUCAUACCAAUGUUCUGUAUCAUCUGUCGCAUCUGCACCUUCCAUUAGCCAUAGUGCUCUGUGUCCAACUUCAGAGAUUCGUUCACCGCAACGAGCUGUUGUGGAUUCUCCAUACCUUGUCACAAGAUCUCACCUGUUUGAAAAAUCAGAACAAAUUUUUACCAGGUGACUGCUCUGAUACCAAUUGAUACGGUAUAGAGACAGUGCACAACAAAUAUUUGCUUGGAACGCGCCAAGCCAACGCUUGUAUAUUUGCUUUUAUUAACACAAAGAUCACUACAGUGAUUUAUAUGUUUCGGCCCUUACUCAACGUACCCCGCUCAAUAGGAUUGAACCCGACAAAAGCAAAUCUAAGCUGAUUUCUAUCCUACGCUCACCCGCUCAUGAACAGCAAGAAAAUAAAUCAAAACACUCACCUUUCUCAGCCUUUUGUUUUUGGCGGCUUUUAAGUAUACAAUCCUCACCAAUAUAAUCUAGAGUGUCAACCUAUUUCGUGGCUACCUCUAGACUAUUUAUACAGCCACGAGAAAACCCUAUUUGUUAGGAUCUCGCAAUCUUCAUCUUAGGAUAGUCUUGCACACCAAGUUUAUCCUUUCCUUAUAUGUUGUUAGAGAAUAUUCACUAAAUCUCUACAACAAUAAAGGUCUUCAAAGCACGCCUCUAGGUUAGCUACCACGUCCUUGGAACGUCACAUCUUUAUUUCUAGCGAUGCCAUGUAAGCCCUAAUUGUCCACGUCAGCAAACAGUCUUCUGAUGUCUUCUGAUGUUACAACUGCUUCCUGUUCUGAUCAGCGAUUCGUUCUUCAAACAACUAAUGGUUCACAUCAGCUUCUUUAAUCCUCAGUAAUCAAGCUUCUAAUAUUCCGAUGCGACCUCAUGAUCUACACGACGAGUUGUUCUUCAUAUACCGAGUUGUGCACAUCAGCUUCCUGUUCUGCUACGUCAAUUCAUGCUUCCAUAUCAUCAUCUUAGGCAUCUGAUGUGAUCACACAUCCACUCCUGUUCUGCCAUGUCAGCUCCUGCUUCCAUGUCAGUAACUCAAACAUCUGAUGUGAUCUGAUGCUGCUUUCUGAUCCAGACCGUGAAUGGUUCUGCGUACACGUGCUGAUCCAGAAUCUGCAUCUUCAAUUCCAUAUAUGAUUUGAUUCAAAUCUACAUCAAUUUUUUUAUUGUUGAUAGAAUUGUGAUUCAUAUAAUUUGUGAGUAGCCUUAUCUUGAAAGCAAUUAUCUUAUCAGAAAAUAUAAAAAUAGUAGAAACAUAAAUUAAACAAUAUUCGAAUUAUGACCUAACUUAGAACCAAAGCUAACUAUUUUAUAAAAAGAUCCCUAAACAUUUACAUAAGAUACACACAUCUUCUACAUAGUCUAAAAAGGUGUGAACUCUUUGAGUGUGAUCAAGUGCUUCAAGACCUUGGAUUCUAACACGUAUGAAAGCGUUCCUCUUGAAAUUGUAGUAGUAAACAUAGAAAGGAUCUGAUAGAUAGAACUGUGGCAACAUAAUUUCACCACUACUUGUGGCUCCAACCAAGCAUAAUUCCGUCAUCCGCGCUUGCGCACGCAACAAAUCAGGCAUCAUGUUGACAAUAUGCAUUGAAAAUUUAUGAUUAUUGGCAUCCUCAAGAACCAAAAACCUAAAACACGUAGCGUUUUUUUUAUCAACUGCACCUAAUUUACCCUUGUAGUUGAUCAAGGUCCAGAAAGAACCUACUAACAUGUUGUUAUCUAAGUUAAUAAAUUUGAAUUCCUCAGACCUAACAUGAAAGCAAACUAUAAGAGAUCAAUUCCCGAACCUCUUUUAACUUCAGCUCGAUAAUACAAAACACCAUUGAUGCAUAUCCCAUCAUAUAAAGGAUAAUGCGCUUUGCAACAUUCAAUCAUUCUCCAAGAAAGUUUUCCAAUCCCUAGUGUCAUAACUUGGUACUUUUCUACUAUAACACCUAAUCCCAAGCAUAAUACCUUGAAAUGUUUGUCGAUAGGAUCAAACCCGAAAUAGCUUCUUGCACCAAUCCACUUCUCUCCCAUUUCAGGUACGUAAGGUUAAAGACUCUCCAGUGACAGGAUUACAAAUCACAACAAUCUUACGAUGAUUAUUGUCUUGAUAUUGACCACAAACAAACCCAUUGAUAGGGAGACUAAUCUGAGAGGGACGAUUUGUUGUGAAUUUCUUAUGAUGAUUAGAACCAACAAAAGACGAGACUACACUAGAAGAGUUCUCAAUAGGAUCUUGAGGUUGAGGUGAUGAGAAGAAUAACAAUGCUUCGAUAGAUUCUUGGAGAACCAGAAGACUUGAUAGAGAGCAAUUCACUGAUAUGUGGACGGCGAAAAAUGGAUGACCAAAGCUUCGAUAUGCAACAAAGCUUAGCUAUAGAUUUCACCGGCAAUCUCGAGAGUAUAUUGUUAACGAGAUCAUUAGGAAGGUCAAAUAUAUUUGAUAUAUUGCAUCGUGAGAUUGUUAGGCCAUCCUCAGAGACUUGUAGAUUGUUCAUGUGGAAUGUUAAACUCUAUAGUCUUAAAGAGAUGAACAAAAGAUGAAAACCAAAGAUAAUAUACUAAAAAACGGAUGUUUUGAUUCACUUUUAUAAUGUCAAUUGAAAAAACGAUGUUAAGAUAAAAAAUAAAAAUUUAACUUAGCAUGUUAAAUAUUGAAUUCUUACGUCAGUUCUAUAAUUGAUGUUAAUGGGCCGAUUCUAGUAUCACUUGUUUAUUUUGAUGUUAACUUAAAAAUAACUACUAGGUCUGGGCAUAUGAGUAUUCGGGUCGGGUUCGGGUUAGAUCCUCUCGGGUUCGGAUAACUUUUUUUUUAAUAGAUUUUAGCCCCGUUCGGGUAUUUUUAAAUUUCGGUUCGGGUUCGGUUCGGGUCCUUUCGGGUUGGGGUCGGUUCUCGACAUAAAGUCGAAUAUCCGUAAAUACCUGGAGACUCUGCCGGUUCCGAUUCGGAUAGGUACUUUGAACCUAAAUUUACCUAAAAAUAUCCAAAAGUAUCCAAAAUAAUCAAAAAAUUAGCUCCGAAUUAUUCAAGUAGUAUUCGAAUUGCGCAAAAUACCCGAAAUAAAUAUAGCUAUAUUGCACUAAAAAUAUAUAAAUUAUCCCAAAAAAUAUCUAAAGCACCCAAAAAAUACUCAAAUUAUUCAAAAUUAUUAAAAAAAAACUGAAAUAUCUUAAAAAAAAAUAUAAUUUUGAGUAGUUGGAUUAUUAUUAAGUAUUUUUGAGAUAUAUACUUGUGUUUCGGGUACCCGUAUUUUUUUCGGAUCGGGUCCGAGUACUUAAAAAAAAAAAAAACUAAAACCCGUUCGGGUAUUUGACCGGUUCCGAUUCGAGUUCGGUUCCUCAUUUUUGAGUCGGGUUCGGGUCGGUUUUUCGGGUCCGAGUAUUUGUGUCCAGGGCUAAUAAUUAGUAUCAAUUUAAAUAAAAAUGACGCUAUUUUUUUUAUUGAGAUUUUAUUUUAUGCGGGAAUAUUGAGAUAAAAAAAAAAAAAAAAAAAUUUUCCAAAAACAAAACACAUAUAAUCGUGAACCCUAGUUCUUUUCUUGUCCAAUUUUCUAGUCUCCAUCGUAUCCUAAAGUUGUCAUAAUUCUUAUAAUUGAUCUUUGUCAAGCCCUUCAAAUCCCAGGUGAAAACGAUUUCAAUUUUCUAUGUUACGACUUCAAUUUUUAUUGGCAACGAAAGUUGGUUCCUGUUUUUCUAAUCGAGUUUGAACUUUUGACCCAGUUACAUAUCUGAUUCAGUGAUUCGGAUUCUCGAGUGACCGAGUUCAAAGGUACCACCUUUCUCUACCCCAUUAACUAAUUUCCCAAGCAUGAACGAAAUCUUCUUACUUGCGUCAUUGUUGGUCUCGAUCGUUUGUUUCAAUUUCAUCUCUGCUCUCAAUCUGUAAUUUUUCAUGAGUUAGAUUCUUGAAUUCGAUAAAUCACUGUGUUGUGUAGAGAAGACUAGAGUUUGCUCUUGUCUUGAGUAUAUGAAAUUGAGAAGAAUAUAUAGUUUCAUUACGAUUAUGUUUCUUUUGAUCUGAAAUUCCAUUAAAUUAAUAUUGAUGAUGAAAUUCAAAAUCCUGUUCAUCGAAUACUGAGUUUGUUUUGAAUCAUUGAUUCGGUGAUAAAUUCAUCUCUUUUGCCUUGUCUCUGAUUUUGGUGACUCUUGAUUGCUUGAAUUUCAAAAGUUUUCUAUAUGAUCUUGGAGAUAUAUGGUGUCAUUGUCCUAAUCGGAUGAGAGCAUUUAUUUUUUGCCUUUACAGUUUCCUCCAUAUCUUGAGCCUAGAAUGGUACCAAAUUAUAUAAAUAAUCAACUCUCUUUUUUUUCAAGCCUUUGUAUCGUUAUUGGUUCAUACAAUCUGAUUGGUUCUUCUUGGUUACGUGACAUAGAUUUCUACGGUUUCGAUCGGUUUUGUUAUGGAUGCUGGAGAUGUGAAUUAAAUUUCUCAUGUAUAAUUUUCUUGUUUUUUCACAGAUGCCGGAGUUGGGGAAGCUUGUUGCUUUCUUUGAUUUCAAAGACGGUAGGGAUGGGUUGCUGCAUUUCAGUGGAAUGACAGCGUGUUCUGAGACGCUGUCAGUUAUUACUCGACGCCGGUUUUGCGUUCAAGCUACUGAUAACACUGGUAAACCAGCAAGUACCACUCCAGCUCGGGACAAAAACAAACCUACAUUAGAUAGAUAUUACAAGUCUGUCUACUUUAUCCUCCACGACAAAUUCUGGAUUGGCCACGGCCUAGUCAAUUCUGAUUGGGCAAAGUUGGAAGAAGAAUUUAAUCAUAUUGGGAAACCAUCUCCUAAGCCCAAAGGAAUAAUUGAUUCAGUUCCCUUCAUUUCGUCUGGGACCAAGGUAUCUAUCUCUGCUUUGGUCUUUGUCAUUUCUUAACUUGUUGAUUUUGUAACAUGAGCUUGUGUUUAACCAAUGAUGCAGCUGGCCCAACUUGCUGUACUCUUUGGCUUGGGUGAGCCAUCACUUGGGUACUAUAACAAUUGCGAAGAAAAUUACGAUGCUAUCAAGCAAUGCAGAGACGCGAUGCCAAUUUUAGAUAUGGAGAAGGAGAAGGAUAUGGGGAGUAAUAUCUAUCCCAUGAUUUCUCAUCUGAGGAAAUUUCAGCAGCCACCAGAAAAAGCAACAACUAAAUCAGCAAGGGGUAGUGAACCAAGAAAAAGUCAAAAACUGGAGGGUAAGGAAAAGGAUUUUCUUGUCACGAAUCAAAUACAAUGUCGUUUAGAAUUCAUAGCUCAGAGUAAUUGUUUUCUUUUGGGUUCAUCUGUUAGGAAAAGAGAAUCCCCCUCGGAAAUCUUUAGCUGAAUCUCCAUCUUCUCUAGAAGAGAGAUUGUUGGUCGCGAUGAAGGUAAAAAAGCUGCUUCUGGAAUUUUGUUCUUUGUUUGUGUGUUUGUCUGAUUUCCGGAUUUGGAGUUGGAAGUGAAUUAAAUCUCUCUCAUGUGUAUUUUUUUUUACCGAUGCUGGAGAGGGAGGACCGUGUUACUUUCUUCGAUUUCAAAAAAGGUAGUAACGGGUUGCUGCAUUUCGGUGGAAUGGAAGUGACUUCCAAGACGCUGGAAUUUAUUACUGAAACCAGGUUUUGCGUUCAAGCUACUCAGAUAAAUGGUAGACCUGCAAGAAACACUCCAGCUUGGUUAAAAAAUGAACCUACAUUAUCUGAAUCCUACAACCGUGUCUACUAUAUGCUCCACAACAAAACCUGGAUUGGCCACGACCUGCGCAAAUCCGAUUUUCCAAUGUUGGAAAAAGAAUGUAAGCAUAUUGGGAAAUCACCACCUAGGCCCAAAGAAAUAAUUGAUACUGUUCCCUUCAUUUCGUCCGGGUCCAAGGUAAUCUAUCUAUCAUCUCUGCUUUGGUCUUUGUCAUUUGGUAACUUGUUUUAUUUUGUAACAUGAGAAAGUUGUGUUUAACACCAGCUGGGCAAACUUGCUGUACUCCUUGGUUUGGGUAAGCCAGCAGCACGGCUGGACUGUAGGAAUUGCCAAGUCAAUUAUAAUGCUAUCAAGAAAUGCAGAGACGCGAUGCCAAUUUUAGAUGUAAGUUUAUUAUAUAAGGCACAAAAAGGUACAGAAAUCCGAAAUUCACUCUUGUUUGUUUUGUUUUUUGGUUUGCAGGUGGAGAUCGAGCAGGAUAAGGAGAGUAAUAUGCAUCCCAUGAUUUCUCUUAUUAAGAAAUAUCAGCAGCCACCAGAAGAAGAAACAAGUAUUCUUUUUGGUCAUGAAGAAGAAACAACUAAAAGGAAAAGUCCUCAAGGAAAAGUCAAAGAUGGGGGAGUAAGGAAAAGUCUAAGACUUAAGGAGGCAAGUCAGAGACUGAAGAAGAAGUCGAUGUAACUUUCUUGACUCAGUUAGCUUCAAAUACAUUAUCAGGUUUCGGUUUUAUGAUGAAUUUUGUCUCCAAUGGUAUUCAUAUGUAUGGAAAUGGGCUCCAAAACUUUCCUUUUACAUCUCUAAGUUAAGAGGUUGGAGGUUAUAAUUUUGAAUUAUUAAGUUGUCAUGUCCCCUCCUCUUUCUAGAAAUUAUGAAUCGGAAGAAUGUUUCUGAAUUGAAAAAUAGCCGGAGGUUUUGGUCCAUUGAGUUACUGCUUCAUUCAUUUUUUCGGUCUACUUUUCGACUUUAAAGUAAGCAGCAUGCAAAAGAAGGCAGGAAAUGUCGUGGGUUUGGUUCAAGAUUUAACCAUUGAGUCAUUUAUUUUGUCGUAUUUUGAAUUAACCGACAACUCAACAUAGCACUUGCUAGAAGGCAAUCAUUUGUAUAUCUCUUAUACAAAAAAGGAUGGUUAUAUUAACUUAUUUGUUAUGGUAAAAAGGAUGGUUAUAUUGGUUUGUGAACAAAUUGAUUUGUUAUUGUAUGGGUGUAUAUAAUUAUUCUCCUUCGCAAAUAGCGAGUUGAAACAUGGAAAAGAAGCCAGUGGAUUUAAAUUGGCUGUACUAAACUGGUUUGUCUUCCGAUAUCCAAACCAGGGGUCAUAAAGUUUUUGGAAUCCUCUGUUUUUUUUUUUUUUUUAAUGAAAGGUAGAUUAUAUGCAAAUAAUGAUUUAAAAAAAUAAUGAGUUUUGAAACUAAAUGUUUUUAGAAACACAGAUUAAAUAAAGGCACGUGCUCUGCAAAUGGCUACCAAAAAUAAUUAAAUCUUACUAUAAAAAACAAAAUAUGAUAAAAACAUAAUUAACUAAAAGAUUCAAUCGAUUGUUUAAUACACUAAAAAUAAUCCUUGUUACGCAUCAAUUUGGUAAGAACUCUUUUUUUUUCUUUUUUUUUUCUUUUCUUUUUGAUAAAUACACACAUAAACUAAAACCCUAACCAAUGGUAACAAACGAACUUUGGAAAAUCAUAUAGAACAAUGUUAAUGAACACAUGCCAUCAAUAAGGAAAGUAACGGCUGCAUACUACUGCACAAAGAGGAAUAACAAAACUUAGCAACAUAGUAACACUAAUAUUAUCACAAAAUAUAAAAACCAAAACAAAGCUCGAAAAGAUUAUUAUACAUGGCACAUGAUUCGGUUCUUUCAACACAAGAGCAAAAAGUUCAGAACAUUUUUUCAUAUUUUCAUACUUUCUACUUACUUCCAGUUGUCUGAACAAGCAAAUAGCUUUAGAAAAAUAUAUUUUUAUUGCCCUCAUUUUUAUGGAUAUUUACACAUAAUUGCUAUUGAAUGAUUAAGGAAUAUUUAUUUUCAAUUAAUUAAAAAAAAUCCAACAUUUCAAUUUUAAAAUAUAUUUUAAUUAUUUUUAUAAUAUAUUUAAUGAUUAUAACAUUAUUAGAUCUAAAACAUUUUCAAAAUCCGAAUUUAUUCACCAAUUAAAAAAAAACUGAUUACUAUUCACAUAUUUAAAAUUUCCAAAAAAAACUAUCAUUACUAUAGGAAAUUGACUUAUUUAAUACCAUUGAUAUAAUAUUUCACGGUGAAACAUAUUCUUACACAAAAAAAAAUAAACGAAAAAAAAAAUCUUGCAUAGAUUGAAGAAAUAGCGGAUAUAUAUUUAGUUGGUACAUAGUAGUUUGAUCUAAACAUAUUCUCACGGGUUAUAUAUUUCGUUUUUACACAAACAAAUUUUAGAUCCUCAAAACUAACUUUACUCAUAACACUAAUUUUAUCUGCGUAGAUUUAUCCUGCACAUAGUGCACGUUGUUACCUAGUGCAAUUAGUAACCAAAAAGUAAAAAGUAAAUAGAACAUAACAAAAAAUGAUUUCUUCAAUUCCUUCUUCCCCCAAUGCUUUCAACCCGUAAAAAUUGAAAAGUAAUUGGAAUGAGAAAGAGAAAAUGAGCAAUUAGAACAGUGCUUCGACUCCUUCUGCUCACAGUGCUCUCAACUCCUAAGAAAAACUUGAAAACUAAUUAGAACGGAAAAGAGAAAAUGAGCAACUGAUCCAAUCAUGUAAAAUACCAACAAAAGAGCUUCACGUCUGGAGAAGAAAUCACUUUCAUAGAUAUACCACUAGGUUCGCUAAAUGUUGUCAAACUAUUUUGAAAACAAAAACAGUUAGUAACCAGAUAAUUAAUCCAGUGAUAUCCAAAAGCGAUAUAUAUUAUCCGAUGUACAAAUGACAUGAUCCUAUAAAAAAUAAGUGAGUUACCUAAUCAAGGGGUGAGAAUCUAGCUACGACCUCGUCAAGACACCUAAUCGAAAUAGAGCCCUGCCAAAGAUGAAGUAAGUAGUCAAGAAAACAAUAAAACAUAAAUUCAAAUUAAACAACAGAGCGCCAACAAACAACCAAAUAAAUCCAAAGAGAGAGGAGCAGAGACAAAGAAACAGAAUAAAGGAAACCAAUCAUUUGAAACUAUUCCUUAAGGCAACUGAACUGGUUUGAGAAAUGUUUCCUUCUGCAAAUUGGAAAACAGAGAAAAAAGAGAGAAUUAAGUAAGCAAACGUUUACAGAAAGUUAUUCACCUAUUCGGAAAAGCUAAAAUCAACAAAACCAAACAAAAAAAAAUUGGAAAAUACUUAAAACCCGUAAAACCAUAAUUAAACAGCCAUAAGACAUUACAUGACAACUGACAAAUCAAACCUCUGCAUCAAUAAUUUAAAAUAACAAAAAAAAAGAAGAAGUAAUUAACACGUAAACAGAAUAAAACCAGAGACACAAUUUAGAAACCAAAACUUAGAAUACAAGUGUUUUAGAAGCUCGACAACCUAAAUCAAGUGGCUAAUAUUAGAAAGAAACAGACGAAACCCCAAAAAGAAAGAGACCAAAAACGCAUAUAUAUCCUCUUUAUUUGUAUCUGCUUAAGAAGUAAAUUCAACAAGUCAGUAAUGGUAACGUGUGAAAUAAGGAAUCAAACAGUAGAAAAGAACAGACGAAACCCCAUGAACAUUAAAAGAAAGAUACCAAAAACUCAUAUCCUUUGUAUUUGUAUCUGCAUAAGAAGUAAAUUCAACAAGUCAAUAAUGGUAACGAGUGAAUUAAGCUAUCAAACAGUAGAAGAAAAUAAAACCUAAAAAGAUGAUCGGUGCAAAGAAAUUAAUUUCUUCGAAUCCUCAUCUUCCAUAAUGCUUGUAAAUCCUGACAAAAAAAAACACAAAAUUAAGAUUAAGAAAAAAGAACAAGAGACUUCUUGAAAUCCCUUUGAUCUCUUGAUCGAUAGUCUCUGAAACUUCAAUCACCUGUAUCAAUAAAUUUAUCUGAACGUAAUUAAGAAAACCACCCAUGAAAUUUAGAAACCAAAACCCUAAAUAUCAUAAGUAACCUCAUACGCUAGUGGGAACGAUGAUGAUCUUGUCGAUCACAAAACCCUAAUAACUUGCGUAAGUAUAUAAAAAGAAGCAAGCGAUUCAAUUUUAGAAACCGUACCCAGUGGCGGAUCCAGAAAAAUAGUUUACAUGGGGCACAAAUAAUUUAUAAUUAAUAAUAUUAAAAAAUUGAAAAUAUUAUAUCUACUGGUUUCUAAAUAUAAUUAAUUAUAUGUAUUAGAUAAAUUUUAAAAACAUCAAUUUAAUAUUAACUAAAAUAAAUUUCGAUUUACACAUCUAACAAUAUUACACGAAUUUAGAUUCUAAACAUUAAAUAAACUACAAAAAAUAAUAAUCUUCAUUAAUUUACUAGUUUUACUGAAAAUAAUAAUAAAAAUGUAGGUAUUAAUUUUUUUACUGUAGACAAACAUGUCUUAAAACUCCCACCAAACAAAAACAAAAACAUGUCUUAAAAUUUGUUAGUUAAAUUGAAACUAGAAAGAUAACAAUAUAAUGAAAAGAGCAUAGUUUUAUUUAAAAGGAAUAAGAAAAAUACAGUCAAUUAAUUAUAAAAAGAAUUAAAAAUGUAGGAAGAUAUUAAAAAUAGAACAUGGGCUGUGGCAAAGAAAUGAGAAAUCGUUAAAAAAAAAAAAAGGAAACCAAAAAACUGAAAUAAAAGAAUCGAACCCCUUUCCUGAAGUAUAGCAGCAUGGGGCACUUUAGGCCAACUGAGCUAAUAGAAUAAUAUCUGUAAUGUUCAACCGAUAACUAUUUAAUAAGUAGUGUGGGGCACGUGCCCCACCUUAUUAUACUCUAGAUCCGCCCCUGACCGUACCACACCGUAGAAUAGAAGCAACCUGUGAAACAAGAACUGAGAAGAUCGAAUAAAAUCAAUUUUCUUUCAAAUCCUUGGGAAUCAACAAAAAAUAAUUUAGAGAGAUCAAUAAACUAAAUCGCUUGAAACCCAAUCAAAGAACCUCUGCUUUGUAGAAGACGAAAGAAUGAGAAAAUUGGAGACAAAAGAGGUGUGUGCUUUAUUUAUAGUGAGGAGGUACUAAAUCUAACAGUGUAGUGUAGAUCGACUCAAUUCGUAAGGAAAUAGUUAUCAACGGUGGACAUUAGAAAACACAAAGUCGGCUACGCUCCUCUGAGAUUUUCUGACCGUUAGAUUUUUGGCACACGUGUCUCUAUUGUUAAUUCUCUGAGCAUUAUACAUUCGUCUGAGAUUUUUUUACCGUUAUUAGUCUUCUUGGCACAUGUGUCAAUGUUUUGAUUCACUGAGAUUUUUACAUUUGACUGAGAUUUUUUUGCCGUUAGAUUUUUGAGCACAUGUGUUGAUUUUCUGGUUCUCUGAAAAUUAUACAUUCUAGGUUUUUAGGUGUUCUGUUGGAUUAGCAUUUAGAUCGAGUUAAAAGUUUAGAACUCUUCUUCAGUCGGUGUCCUUAAAUUUCUGUAGUCUCUUACAAAGGCACAUAAAUAAGAUAAGGAAACUGAAAAACCCCAUAAAUGAAAUAAAAAUUAAAAAAAAUUAGAACAAUGAUACACUUUGCAAUUUGCAACGUCCGGCAUCUAUAUAGAUGUAAUAAACAAUGUUUUCGAAUUGCCCAAAAAAAAAGAAAAGCAANNNNNNNNNNNNNNNNNNNNNNNNNNNNNNNNNNNNNNNNNNNNNNNNNNNNNNNNNNNNNNNNNNNNNNNNNNNNNNNNNNNNNNNNNNNNNNNNNNNNNNNNNNNNNNNNNNNNNNNNNNNNNNNNNNNNNNNNNNNNNNNNNNNNNNNNNNNNNNNNNNNNNNNNNNNNNNNNNNNNNNNNNNNNNNNNNNNNNNNNNNNNNNNNNNNNNNNNNNNNNNNNNNNNNNNNNNNNNNNNNNNNNNNNNNNNNNNNNNNNNNNNNNNNNNNNNNNNNNNNNNNNNNNNNNNNNNNNNNNNNNNNNNNNNNNNNNNNNNNNNNNNNNNNNNNNNNNNNNNNNNNNNNNNNNNNNNNNNNNNNNNNNNNNNNNNNNNNNNNNNNNNNNNNNNNNNNNNNNNNNNNNNNNNNNNNNNNNNNNNNNNNNNNNNNNNNNNNNNNNNNNNNNNNNNNNNNNNNNNNNNNNNNNNNNNNNNNNNNNNNNNNNNNNNNNNNNNNNNNNNNNNNNNNNNNNNNNNNNNNNNNNNNNNNNNNNNNNNNNNNNNNNNNNNNNNNNNNNNNNNNNNNNNNNNNNNNNNNNNNNNNNNNNNNNNNNNNNNNNNNNNNNNNNNNNNNNNNNNNNNNNNNNNNNNNNNNNNNNNNNNNNNNNNNNNNNNNNNNNNNNNNNNNNNNNNNNNNNNNNNNNNNNNNNNNNNNNNNNNNNNNNNNNNNNNNNNNNNNNNNNNNNNNNNNNNNNNNNNNNNNNNNNNNNNNNNNNNNNNNNNNNNNNNNNNNNNNNNNNNNNNNNNNNNNNNNNNNNNNNNNNNNNNNNNNNNNNNNNNNNNNNNNNNNNNNNNNNNNNNNNNNNNNNNNNNNNNNNNNNNNNNNNNNNNNNNNNNNNNNNNNNNNNNNNNNNNNNNNNNNNNNNNNNNNNNNNNNNNNNNNNNNNNNNNNNNNNNNNNNNNNNNNNNNNNNNNNNNNNNNNNNNNNNNNNNNNNNNNNNNNNNNNNNNNNNNNNNNNNNNNNNNNNNNNNNNNNNNNNNNNNNNNNNNNNNNNNNNNNNNNNNNNNNNNNNNNNNNNNNNNNNNNNNNNNNNNNNNNNNNNNNNNNNNNNNNNNNNNNNNNNNNNNNNNNNNNNNNNNNNNNNNNNNNNNNNNNNNNNNNNNNNNNNNNNNNNNNNNNNNNNNNNNNNNNNNNNNNNNNNNNNNNNNNNNNNNNNNNNNNNNNNNNNNNNNNNNNNNNNNNNNNNNNNNNNNNNNNNNNNNNNNNNNNNNNNNNNNNNNNNNNNNNNNNNNNNNNNNNNNNNNNNNNNNNNNNNNNNNNNNNNNNNNNNNNNNNNNNNNNNNNNNNNNNNNNNNNNNNNNNNNNNNNNNNNNNNNNNNNNNNNNNNNNNNNNNNNNNNNNNNNNNNNNNNNNNNNNNNNNNNNNNNNNNNNNNNNNNNNNNNNNNNNNNNNNNNNNNNNNNNNNNNNNNNNNNNNNNNNNNNNNNNNNNNNNNNNNNNNNNNNNNNNNNNNNNNNNNNNNNNNNNNNNNNNNNNNNNNNNNNNNNNNNNNNNNNNNNNNNNNNNNNNNNNNNNNNNNNNNNNNNNNNNNNNNNNNNNNNNNNNNNNNNNNNNNNNNNNNNNNNNNNNNNNUUGAUCUACACGACGAGUUGUUCUUCAUAUACCGAGUUGUGCACAUCAGCUUCCUGUUCUGCUACGUCAAUUCAUGCUUCAAUAUCAUCAUCUUAGGCAUCUGAUGUGAUCACACAUCCACUCCUGUUCUGCCAUGUCAGCUCCUGCUUCCAUGUUAGUAACUCAAACGUCUGAUGUGAUCUGAUGCAGCUUUCUGAUCCAGACCGUGAAUGGUUAUGCGUACACGUGCUGAUCCAGAAUCUGCAUCUUCAAUCUCCCCCUUUUUGACUUAGUUUGAUACUCAAGCAACUUCCUAAAGAUAACCUGAAAGUCAAAGACAGAGAGACAAACGGACACAACAACAUACCAAUAUCUAGAAAUGAUCCUAGCAUUAGUACCUCAAACAGAGUGAUGUGUUCAACAUUAUUACAGUUCUAACAAGUCCCAGCAGACUGAUAAAUAUUCUAAUGAAAGAACAGAGAACUGUAACAAAGCAAAACUAUGAUUAAGAACCUAAACAUUAACGACCACAAUGGCCUGCAGCGGAAACCAUGUUCUUAAUAGUUCUCUAAUCAGACUUAACCAUUUGGCAUAUCCAUAAGUACUAUAAACAUAAAAUCAACCAAGUAAUCAAACCGUUAAGUCUCCCCCAUAAACAAUGAUUCUCCCCCUAAAUCAAAGAACGAUUCUUCCCUACAAGUAAAGAAUCCCUCAACAUUAGGUAUUUAAAACAUAUCAGGAACCGGAAUCAUUCUCCCCCUGCUUGAGUGCAUAACUAAGUUAAAAAUAAACAGGUGUAUCACAUCAGUAAGCAGAGUUAUGGAAACACUUACCUGAUGACAGUGUUGUUCAACAUGAAGCACUGCAAUGACCAGUCUCAUCGCUUUGAGAUCAUCAGUCAUUCCAACCACAAAGGUUGAGGUUGCUGCUUUCACUAUAGUUGCUGGUUCAACUUGAAAGUCUACGCCAUCAUGUGGAUGAGUCGAGCUAUAGUUGCCUUGCACUACUUCACAUUGUCGUUUGACAAACCACAACCAUGUCAUCAUACAGCACGCCAGUCAUCUGCAUCCUAUGGGUUCGUUCCUCUAUAUCCUCUUAACAGAUGAUAUGCUUUCCUAGAGCUUUCGCAUUAUUUGAGCACACAUGACUGAAAACCAGUCACAUUCCUCCAACAACAUCUUGUACCGUUGUAGAUCUCUGGUUUACUGUAAAUAUCUUUCAUUCUUGCAUAAAAACCAGUUUCUUUGAUUGAUUCUGCACAUAGUCUUGAUGUCCUUGAUCAUCCUCAUGCUCGCAGACUUGUCAUCCACUUCACUACAAUCAACAGAGAGUUGAUCUGUACAAGUGAGAACUCAAAUACCCAGUUCCUGUCAAUAACAUGUACUGUCGUAAUCAGACUCCUGACAUUUGAUGGAUUAGCCCAUAAGUCUCAUACUCCUUCAGGUAUGUCCGGCUCAAUUUCAGACACAGUCCUUAGAAGCCCAGCAGCUUCAUCAUCAUCGCAUGAAGACAAAAUUGUUUUAUCUUCAACGAAUGCAUCAUGAUUCUUAAAUAGGACAUCGCACCUCUGUUUCGCCGAGCAGAGAACCGAACAAAGUCUCAUCACAAUCUGCUGCACCUACAGAUCAUCAGGGAUAAGUUGAACUCUUUUCACUCUUCUGUUGGCUCCUAGACACUGAAACAUCAACACUCUUCUGCAUAUUCACCCGACGACACAGAUGAUAGUAGAUUCGUCAAGCAGCUGGUAAGAAACAACUUGUUAUCCGGUAACAUGUUUCAGCUUUCGGCAACAUUCUCGUUGAUCAACCAUGUUGAUCAGAGUUGGGACUUAGUGACAGCUACCAGAUGUAAAGACAGAGACGACCAUGCCAUUCGCUGGUGAACCACAGUCUUCUACUUGGGAACACACCAGCCUCCGAUACUUUCCCGUGUGGGUUUGAAACAGAUGGGCUUAUGCUUGUUAACCUAACAUAUAUAAUCCUGACAACCACUUAACAGAAACAUUAGUGCACAUUUGCCAGCAAAUCCCUAUUUGAAAAUCAACUCGCUAAUCAACACCAAUUAAUCACAUAGAACUUUUCAUGAUUAUUCAUCAUAUACAAUCACUUUAUCAUGAGCAAAUGAGUGACCCAGAAUGGUAGCAAGCAUGUGAGCAUAUGUAGAUUAAGUUCAGUUUAAAAGUUCUCAUACCUUUGAAGUCUGUUCUGUGUUCUGUGCCAGCCACUUGUUCAGGACUCAGCCAGAAACUGUCACAACCUUAUGAAUCUUCGAAGAGUCAGCUCGGGAUCAGUGGCUAGUCUUUCACACUGUCAUGCCUUUAGUCCAGAACAAUCAAUAUGCCCAGGCAGCUGGAAUUUCCUUUGGAGAGUGCACGAUCAGGAGUGUGUUAAGUCCUUUUUUUUUUUUUUUCUCUUAACACAGCACCUCGGAGUUUCAGAUUCAACGCUCAAGUAUGGUCGCUUUUCAAGCUUCUGACUUUUUCAGGCUUCUAUUGAACCUUCUGAUUUGUAUCAGAAACAUCACUUGUGUUUUCAGUCUCUGAUACCUGUGCAUGCCCUUGAGUUUCUUGUUCAGAACUCCCUCCAGUAGCUUGUACCAGACACAUCACUUGACUUCUCAAUGUUCGGUACCUUUUUGAAUGACAUGCACAUAAAUGCCCCUCCUCAGCUCUUUGACCUCCUAGAACACGACAACAUUUUACUAUUGUAAGGACCGGCAUGACAGGCAGCUCUUUUCCACACACCUUUGAGUUACAGACAGCUGAUCUUCUAUACAUCCUUUGGAAUUUACAUGACCUGUUCCAGUGUCUGUCCCUGUCUUUGAUCAGCACAACUCACAGAACAAGUUAGACCUCACACACACACCAAUAGCUUUUCUCAGAUCUACGAAUCGAUUAAAGUCCAGAGGCUUGGUGAAUAAAUCAGCAAGUUAAAAAAUAUUACUCACAAGCCUAACUACAAUCAGUGUCUCCUCAAUUAAUUCACGAAUCAAGUGAUGCAUUAUGUCAAUAAGUUCAGUUCGUGAAUGUUCAACGGGGAGCAUGGCUAGUUUAAUUGCACUCUUGAAAAAGAAUCAGAGAUCAUACCAUAGUAGUCAGCUGUCGUUUGUUUCAUCAUAAUGGGCUGAGUACAUGAGCUCCCAAGUGUAGUGUCUGAAUCAUUGCUUAUUGUGGGAACAGAAACACUUUGUUGUUGUAGCUCCACCUGUUGUGAUCCUUCAGAAGCGCUCACACUGUGUUGUUGCUGCUCAACCUAUCAUGAUCCUUCAGUAACGCUCACACUGUGUUGUUGCUGCUCAACCUGUCGUGAUCCUUUGGUAACUCUUCCCCCUGAAUCUCUCCUACAUCAUUAUGAAUGGAGUGAUUCUUAUGCACCUGACUGAUUGAGUCUUCAAUAGUUACAGCUUGACUCCUGCUCACAGAUUCAUGAACAGACUCAUUCCCAGAGGACAUAGGUGCAUCAGUUACCUGAUCAUCUGUAUGACACUUAUUCGGAUACGUGCGUAGUGUGACACGAUCCAGGAACUUACAACAGUCAGCUUUGUAGUGAUUCUGACUUCCACAACACCAACACCCUAUUCUUCUUUUCAGAGCUCUGACACUUCGCAAGUUAGUCUUAGCGUUUGAUCUCGUCUUUGCCUUCACAUGUCUGAAGUGUGAACAAUUGCUUACGUUGGUACCUGAAGAUUCGCCAUAGGAAUACAGAUCAUCCUUCUUGAUGUAGACUUGAUUACAUCGGUUACCAUCCUUGUGGACCUCUUCUGGCGUAUGAGCUGAUUCACACGAUUCUGAAAUCUGUAACAAUCGGUCUUGAUAUGCCCAGGCUUACCGCAGUACCAACAUCCUGUUCCUCGUCCUCCUGAGUAGGUAAAUACAGGACUCUGUUUGGGCGUUCCACUGUGAUUGCAGGAGAGACGUCUGUUUUGCCGGCUUGAUUGUCUCAUACCCUCACUGGUACUAACUGGUUUCACAGGAGAUAUAUACGUCUUUAUAAACUGAGUGCUACAGUUAGGAUUACCUCUGUGAUACGAUGAUGUGCCACACGUCUUCCUGGAUUGAGACCUUGAGAGAUCAGAAGAUUGCGUCUGUCCUAAGUUCUUCGUCUUCACUGAUGAUUCAGGAGCUGAACCGUUUUCCUUGACGAACUUGGUAGUGCCACUAGUUGCUCCUUCCUUAUAUCCCAAGUCAAAUGGUGUGCUGCCUACUCUCCCAUAGCUUAGCCCUCCAUCGAGAUCCUUAGUUCCCAUGCUCAGCAUCCUGAUAUUCUUCAUCUGAUCACUCAACAGUUUUUCCAAACUCGAGUUUUUGAUUUUUUCUUCACUCAGUUCCUUCUCAAGUGUAGAAAUCCUUAUCCGAAUGUUGUCUCUUUCAGAAAUCAGAUCGUGAUUCUCCUUUCUCUUCUCCACCAAGGUCAUCAGAAAAUUGAUAAGUUCUUCAGCCGUCAGGAUCUCUUCUGUGUCUAAAUCAGAUGAAUGAUUUUCAGUACUUGACGUAUCAUUGUCUUCUCCAUCUUUAAUUUCCCUAAGAUGUGCUACAGGGUUGUUGAGAAGUGUUCCUCCAUCAGCCUCCUGCUUGUCAAUAUCGCUCUCACUAGAAGUGACUUCCACUUUACGUUUUGAUUCUGAUCCUUUGACAGAGUCGACUCCAGUGUGACAACGCCCCUUGCACUCAAAGCACUGUAGCGAGUUUCUCUUUUUGAUUGUUGGACAUUCUGAUAUGAGAUGACCGCUUCCUUCACACACAGAACAUUGUUUGUCAGAUUUUCUUUUUUUCUUGUCUGCGGUAAUCUGAUUAUUUGUUGAUACCGGCUUGCAGUGAUCACUCUUCAUCCUCCUUAAAUAUUUUUUGACAAUCAGACCCACUGUAUCUUGCACAUCAUCUUUCUGUUUGUCAGCAGCUACCAGACCACUUCUUUUCCCAAUCGUCUGUUCUUUCUUCUUCAGUUUUAACUCAUAUGCCUACAUCAUCGCAACAACCUGAUCAAAUUUUAAUUCACAAGAGUUCAGAGAUACCUCAAUGGCAGACACGUAUGGUUGGAACUUGGACGACAGACUCUUGAGAAACUUCUUGACAAGCUUCUUAUCCUUGUAUGCUUUUCCCAGCACCACAGCUUCCUGACGAAUGGAAAUCAGUUUGCUGCUGAAGUCGUGAAUAGAUUCACCGUCCUCCAUAGAUAGGUUUUCAAACUCAGACACCAGCAUAUCAAGUCUGGUUUUCUUCACACUGCUGGUUCCUUCAAAUGACACUUGAAGAAUAUCCCAAGCCUCCUUUGCUGAUGUGCAUCUUUGCACCAUAGUGAGCUGGCUCAUGUGCAAGGAACUGAAAAUAGCAGACAGAGCUCUGGCGUUGUACUUAGCCUCUGCCUUUUCAUGAGCCGUCCAUGAUUUCUUAGGUUUUUGACAAACCACUCCCUCAGCACUAGUGGUUGUUGGAUAUGUCCACCCAUCUUCCACUGCGGACCACGCCUUCAUACCAAUGUUCUGUAUCAUCUGUCGCAUCUGCACCUUCCAUUAGCCAUAGUGCUCUGUGUCCAACUUCAGAGAUUCGUUCACCGCAACGAGCUGUUGUGGAUUCUCCAUACCUUGUCACAAGAUCUCACCUGUUUGAAAAAUCAGAACAAAUUUUUACCAGGUGACUGCUCUGAUACCAAUUGAUACGGUAUAGAGACAGUGCACAACAGAUAUUUGCUUGGAACGCGCCAAGCCAACGCUUGUAUAUUUGCUUUUAUUAACACAAAGAUCACUACAGUGAUUUAUAUGUUUCGGCCCUUACUCAACGUACCCCGCUCAAUAGGAUUGAACCCGACAAAAGCAAAUCUAAGCUGAUUUCUAUCCUACGCUCACCCGCUCAUGAACAGCAAGAAAAGAAAUCAAAACACUCACCUUUCUCAGCCUUUUGUUUUUGGCGGCUUUUAAGUAUACAAUCCUCACCAAUAUAAUCUAGAGUGUCAACCUAUUUCGUGGCUACCUCUAGACUAUUUAUACAGCCACGAGAAAACCCUAUUUGUUAGGAUCUCGCAAUCUUCAUCUUAGGAUAGUCUUGCACACCAAGUUUAUCCUUUCCUUAUAUGUUGUUAGAGAAUAUUCACUAAAUCUCUACAACAAUAAAGGUCUUCAAAGCACGCCUCUAGGUUAGCUACCACGUCCUUGGAACGUCACAUCUUUAUUUCUAGCGAUGCCAUGUAAGCCCUAAUUGUCCACGUCAGCAAACAGUCUUCUGAUGUCUUCUGAUGUUACAACUGCUUCCUGUUCUGAUCAGCGAUUCGUUCUUCAAACAACUAAUGGUUCACAUCAGCUUCUUUAAUCCUCAGUAAUCAAGCUUCUAAUAUUCCGAUGCGACCUCAUGAUCUACACGACGAGUUGUUCUUCAUAUACCGAGUUGUGCACAUCAGCUUCCUGUUCUGCUACGUCAAUUCAUGCUUCCAUAUCAUCAUCUUAGGCAUCUGAUGUGAUCACACAUCCACUCCUGUUCUGCCAUGUCAGCUCCUGCUUCCAUGUCAGUAACUCAAACAUCUGAUGUGAUCUGAUGCUGCUUUCUGAUCCAGACCGUGAAUGGUUCUGCGUACACGUGCUGAUCCAGAAUCUGCAUCUUCAAUUCCAUAUAUGAUUUGAUUCAAAUCUACAUCAAUUUUUUUAUUGUUGAUAGAAUUGUGAUUCAUAUAAUUUGUGAGUAGCCUUAUCUUGAAAGCAAUUAUCUUAUCAGAAAAUAUAAAAAUAGUAGAAACAUAAAUUAAACAAUAUUCGAAUUAUGACCUAACUUAGAACCAAAGCUAACUAUUUUAUAAAAAGAUCCCUAAACAUUUACAUAAGAUACACACAUCUUCUACAUAGUCUAAAAAGGUGUGAACUCUUUGAGUGUGAUCAAGUGCUUCAAGACCUUGGAUUCUAACACGUAUGAAAGCGUUCCUCUUGAAAUUGUAGUAGUAAACAUAGAAAGGAUCUGAUAGAUAGAACUGUGGCAACAUAAUUUCACCACUACUUGUGGCUCCAACCAAGCAUAAUUCCGUCAUCCGCGCUUGCGCACGCAACAAAUCAGGCAUCAUGUUGACAAUAUGCAUUGAAAAUUUAUGAUUAUUGGCAUCCUCAAGAACCAAAAACCUAAAACACGUAGCGUUUUUUUUAUCAACUGCACCUAAUUUACCCUUGUAGUUGAUCAAGGUCCAGAAAGAACCUACUAACAUGUUGUUAUCUAAGUUAAUAAAUUUGAAUUCCUCAGACCUAACAUGAAAGCAAACUAUAAGAGAUCAAUUCCCGAACCUCUUUUAACUUCAGCUCGAUAAUACAAAACACCAUUGAUGCAUAUCCCAUCAUAUAAAGGAUAAUGCGCUUUGCAACAUUCAAUCAUUCUCCAAGAAAGUUUUCCAAUCCCUAGUGUCAUAACUUGGUACUUUUCUACUAUAACACCUAAUCCCAAGCAUAAUACCUUGAAAUGUUUGUCGAUAGGAUCAAACCCGAAAUAGCUUCUUGCACCAAUCCACUUCUCUCCCAUUUCAGGUACGUAAGGUUAAAGACUCUCCAGUGACAGGAUUACAAAUCACAACAAUCUUACGAUGAUUAUUGUCUUGAUAUUGACCACAAACAAACCCAUUGAUAGGGAGACUAAUCUGAGAGGGACGAUUUGUUGUGAAUUUCUUAUGAUGAUUAGAACCAACAAAAGACGAGACUACACUAGAAGAGUUCUCAAUAGGAUCUUGAGGUUGAGGUGAUGAGAAGAAUAACAAUGCUUCGAUAGAUUCUUGGAGAACCAGAAGACUUGAUAGAGAGCAAUUCACUGAUAUGUGGACGGCGAAAAAUGGAUGACCAAAGCUUCGAUAUGCAACAAAGCUUAGCUAUAGAUUUCACCGGCAAUCUCGAGAGUAUAUUGUUAACGAGAUCAUUAGGAAGGUCAAAUAUAUUUGAUAUAUUGCAUCGUGAGAUUGUUAGGCCAUCCUCAGAGACUUGUAGAUUGUUCAUGUGGAAUGUUAAACUCUAUAGUCUUAAAGAGAUGAACAAAAGAUGAAAACCAAAGAUAAUAUACUAAAAAACGGAUGUUUUGAUUCACUUUUAUAAUGUCAAUUGAAAAAACGAUGUUAAGAUAAAAAAUAAAAAUUUAACUUAGCAUGUUAAAUAUUGAAUUCUUACGUCAGUUCUAUAAUUGAUGUUAAUGGGCCGAUUCUAGUAUCACUUGUUUAUUUUGAUGUUAACUUAAAAAUAACUACUAGGUCUGGGCAUAUGAGUAUUCGGGUCGGGUUCGGGUUAGAUCCUCUCGGGUUCGGAUAACUUUUUUUUUAAUAGAUUUUAGCCCCGUUCGGGUAUUUUUAAAUUUCGGUUCGGGUUCGGUUCGGGUCCUUUCGGGUUGGGGUCGGUUCUCGACAUAAAGUCGAAUAUCCGUAAAUACCUGGAGACUCUGCCGGUUCCGAUUCGGAUAGGUACUUUGAACCUAAAUUUACCUAAAAAUAUCCAAAAGUAUCCAAAAUAAUCAAAAAAUUAGCUCCGAAUUAUUCAAGUAGUAUUCGAAUUGCGCAAAAUACCCGAAAUAAAUAUAGCUAUAUUGCACUAAAAAUAUAUAAAUUAUCCCAAAAAAUAUCUAAAGCACCCAAAAAAUACUCAAAUUAUUCAAAAUUAUUAAAAAAAAACUGAAAUAUCUUAAAAAAAAAUAUAAUUUUGAGUAGUUGGAUUAUUAUUAAGUAUUUUUGAGAUAUAUACUUGUGUUUCGGGUACCCGUAUUUUUUUCGGAUCGGGUCCGAGUACUUAAAAAAAAAAAAAACUAAAACCCGUUCGGGUAUUUGACCGGUUCCGAUUCGAGUUCGGUUCCUCAUUUUUGAGUCGGGUCGGGUUCGGGUCGGUUUUUCGGGUCCGAAUAUUUGUGUCCAGGGCUAAUAAUUAGUAUCAAUUUAAAUAAAAAUGACGCUAUUUUUUUUAUUGAGAUUUUAUUUUACGCGGGAAUAUUGAGAUAAAAAAAAAAAAAAAAAAAAUUUCCAAAAACAAAACACAUAUAAUCGUGAACCCUAGUUCUUUUCUUGUCCAAUUUUCUAGUCUCCAUCGUAUCCUAAAGUUGUCAUAAUUCUUAUAAUUGAUCUUUGUCAAGCCCUUCAAAUCCCAGGUGAAAACGAUUUCAAUUUUCUAUGUUACGACUUCAAUUUUUAUUGGCAACGAAAGUUGGUUCCUGUUUUUCUAAUCGAGUUUGAACUUUUGACCCAGUUACAUAUCUGAUUCAGUGAUUCGGAUUCUCGAGUGACCGAGUUCAAAGGUACCACCUUUCUCUACCCCAUUAACUAAUUUCCCAAGCAUGAACGAAAUCUUCUUACUUGCGUCAUUGUUGGUCUCGAUCGUUUGUUUCAAUUUCAUCUCUGCUCUCAAUCUGUAAUUUUUCAUGAGUUAGAUUCUUGAAUUCGAUAAAUCACUGUGUUGUGUAGAGAAGACUAGAGUUUGCUCUUGUCUUGAGUAUAUGAAAUUGAGAAGAAUAUAUAGUUUCAUUACGAUUAUGUUUCUUUUGAUCUGAAAUUCCAUUAAAUUAAUAUUGAUGAUGAAAUUCAAAAUCCUGUUCAUCGAAUACUGAGUUUGUUUUGAAUCAUUGAUUCGGUGAUAAAUUCAUCUCUUUUGCCUUGUCUCUGAUUUUGGUGACUCUUGAUUGCUUGAAUUUCAAAAGUUUUCUAUAUGAUCUUGGAGAUAUAUGGUGUCAUUGUCCUAAUCGGAUGAGAGCAUUUAUUUUUUGCCUUUACAGUUUCCUCCAUAUCUUGAGCCUAGAAUGGUACCAAAUUAUAUAAAUAAUCAACUCUCUUUUUUUUCAAGCCUUUGUAUCGUUAUUGGUUCAUACAAUCUGAUUGGUUCUUCUUGGUUACGUGACAUAGAUUUCUACGGUUUCGAUCGGUUUUGUUAUGGAUGCUGGAGAUGUGAAUUAAAUUUCUCAUGUAUAAUUUUCUUGUUUUUUCACAGAUGCCGGAGUUGGGGAAGCUUGUUGCUUUCUUUGAUUUCAAAGACGGUAGGGAUGGGUUGCUGCAUUUCAGUGGAAUGACAGCGUGUUCUGAGACGCUGUCAGUUAUUACUCGACACCGGUUUUGCGUUCAAGCUACUGAUAACACUGGUAAACCAGCAAGUACCACUCCAGCUCGGGACAAAAACAAACCUACAUUAGAUAGAUAUUACAAGUCUGUCUACUUUAUCCUCCACGACAAAUUCUGGAUUGGCCACGGCCUAGUCAAUUCUGAUUGGGCAAAGUUGGAAGAAGAAUUUAAUCAUAUUGGGAAACCAUCUCCUAAGCCCAAAGGAAUAAUUGAUACAGUUCCCUUCAUUUCGUCUGGGACCAAGGUAUCUAUCUCUGCUUUGGUCUUUGUCAUUUCUUAACUUGUUGAUUUUGUAACAUGAGCUUGUGUUUAACCAAUGAUGCAGCUGGCCCAACUUGCUGUACUCUUUGGCUUGGGUGAGCCAUCACUUGGGUACUAUAACAAUUGCGAAGAAAAUUACGAUGCUAUCAAGCAAUGCAGAGACGCGAUGCCAAUUUUAGAUAUGGAGAAGGAGAAGGAUAUGGGGAGUAAUAUCUAUCCCAUGAUUUCUCAUCUGAGGAAAUUUCAGCAGCCACCAGAAAAAGCAACAACUAAAUCAGCAAGGGGUAGUGAACCAAGAAAAAGUCAAAAACUGGAGGGUAAGGAAAAGGAUUUUCUUGUCACGAAUCAAAUACAAUGUCGUUUAGAAUUCAUAGCUCAGAGUAAUUGUUUUCUUUUGGGUUCAUCUGUUAGGAAAAGAGAAUCCCCCUCGGAAAUCUUUAGCUGAAUCUCCAUCUUCUCUAGAAGAGAGAUUGUUGGUCGCGAUGAAGGUAAAAAAGCUGCUUCUGGAAUUUUGUUCUUUGUUUGUGUGUUUGUCUGAUUUCCGGAUUUGGAGUUGGAAGUGAAUUAAAUCUCUCUCAUGUGUAUUUUUUUUUACCGAUGCUGGAGAGGGAGGACCGUGUUACUUUCUUCGAUUUCAAAAAAGGUAGUAACGGGUUGCUGCAUUUCGGUGGAAUGGAAGUGACUUCCAAGACGCUGGAAUUUAUUACUGAAACCAGGUUUUGCGUUCAAGCUACUCAGAUAAAUGGUAGACCUGCAAGAAACACUCCAGCUUGGUUAAAAAAUGAACCUACAUUAUCUGAAUCCUACAACCGUGUCUACUAUAUGCUCCACAACAAAACCUGGAUUGGCCACGACCUGCGCAAAUCCGAUUUUCCAAUGUUGGAAAAAGAAUGUAAGCAUAUUGGGAAAUCACCACCUAGGCCCAAAGAAAUAAUUGAUACU
rnacentral:lncRNA from 1 species